rnacentral:rRNA from 1 species
GACGAACGCUGGCGGCGUGCUUAACACAUGCAAGUCGAACGGAAAGGCUCCAGCUUGCUGGAGUACUCGAGUGGCGAACGGGUGAGUAACACGUGGGUAAUCUGCCCUGCACUCUGGGAUAAGCCUGGGAAACUGGGUCUAAUACUGGAUAUGACCUUUCUCCUUAUGGGGUUUGGUGGAAAGUUUUUCGGUGUAGGAUGAGCCCGCGGCCUAUCAGCUUGUUGGUGGGGUGAUGGCCUACCAAGGCGACGACGGGUAGCCGGCCUGAGAGGGUGAUCGGCCACAUUGGGACUGAGAUACGGCCCAGACUCCUACGGGAGGCAGCAGUGGGGAAUAUUGCACAAUGGGCGGAAGCCCUGAUGCAGCGACGCCCGCGUGAGGGAUGACGGGCCUUUCGGGUUGUAAAACCUCCUUUCAAGCCAGGG